rnacentral:rRNA from 1 species
AAUACCGUAUACGCUGGUAACGGGAAAGGGGGCCUCUUCUUGAAAGCUCUCGCCAGUAGAUGAGUCCGCGUUUCAUUAGCUAGACGGUGGGGUAACGGCCUACCGUGGCAACGAUGAAUAGCAGGCCUGAGAGGGUGGCCUGCCACACUGGGACUGGAACACGGCCCAGACUCCUACGGGAGGCAGCAGUGGGGAAUAUUGCGCAAUGGACGAAAGUCUGACGCAGCGACGCCGCGUGGAGGAUGAAGGUUUUCGGAUCGUAAACUCCUGUCAAGAGGGAAGAAACCUAUUAUGAAUAAUACUCAUGGUAAUUGACGGUACCUCUAGAGGAAGCACCGGCUAAUUCAGUGCCAGCAGCCGCGGUAAUA